rnacentral:rRNA from 1 species
AUGCCUGAGGGCAUAAAUGACACAGUCAUCGUUCUCAUACCUAAAGGUAACUCGCCUGAGUGCUUUAAAGAUUUUCGUCCAAUAAGCCUCUGCAGUGUUAUUUACAAGGUGAUAUCCAAGUGUCUCGUCAACUGUUUGCGGACUUUCCUCGAUGAGCUUGUGUCUGAAAGUCAAAGCGCGUUUAUCCCGGGAAGGAUGAUAACUGACAAU